GAUGAACGCUGGCGGCGUGCUUAACACAUGCAAGUCGAACGGUGAACACGGAGCUUGCUCUGUAGGAUCAGUGGCGAACGGGUGAGUAACACGUGAGCAACCUGCCCCUGACUCUGGGAUAAGCGCUGGAAACGGCGUCUAAUACUGGAUAUGUGACGUGACCGCAUGGUCUGCGUUUGGAAAGAUUUUUCGGUUGGGGAUGGGCUCGCGGCCUAUCAGCUUGUUGGUGAGGUAAUGGCUCACCAAGGCGUCGACGGGUAGCCGGCCUGAGAGGGUGACCGGCCACACUGGGACUGAGACACGGCCCAGACUCCUACGGGAGGCAGCAGUGGGGAAUAUUGCACAAUGGGCGCAAGCCUGAUGCAGCAACGCCGCGUGAGGGAUGACGGCCUUCGGGUUGUAAACCUCUUUUAGCAGGGAAGAAGCGAAAGUGACGGUACCUGCAGAAAAAGCGCCGGCUAACUACGUG
rnacentral:rRNA from 1 species